GUAGGUAAAUCAUUCAUGGCGCCAUUUACUACACACAUAAUCUAACAGACAAUUUGUUUUAGGGGAAACAAUAGAUAAUUAUUUAGUUAUUUAGUUAUUAGUCAUGUAAUGAGAAGGGAUUACGUCCAGCGUGCCGGUCAAUAUCUCAAUAUAUACCAAUUGAGGGUGAUGCAUGACUCCUUUCCCCAAACACUCAUUAAUAAUGAUACGUUCAAUGAGUUUCGAAGUGCAGUUCUUAAUAUGGUUUAUACCAUGGGGUGUGGUGGAGGCAAUUUGUUGUUGCUUGAGGGGUACUGUAUCGUUCUUCUCACCAACAUGUUAUCUAAAGCUAAUUCUGAUUCUGAUUCUGAUUCUGAUUCUGAUUACAACAGCACUGUUUGCCUGGUUCUAAUGUUGACCGGAUGCUGAAGCAGGUCCAAGCGUUUAAAAGAGGUGUAUGAGAUCCCACACGCAUUGUUCAUCAAUGCAAAUCGCUCACAGAAACUCCUAAAGUACAAGUUCAGCUGCCAUCAGUGCUGUGCGAUGAACUUCUGGCCCUCGGUCUCACACCUUCCAUGAGACCCCGUUGGUUGUUUAACUGGUUUCGUGUUUUUGUUGUUAUGCAGGCAGACACUUUGAACAUCCCAGGAGCACCCUGCCGCUUCCCUUGACUUCUUCAACCUGUAACUUCAGCCUUCAGCCGGCAGCUGCACACCCGCAUGGGCCCGCCAUGUGAUCCCCUCUCCUCCUCCACCACCACCACCACCACCACCAGGGAUCCACUACCUGCAUCCAUCAUACACCCUGAGAAGGAGGGAGAGAAAAAAAAGAGAGAGAAGGCGCGUCAUCUGCAUUCUUAAGAGAUUCGGCGAUGACAGAAAAUGACGUCGCGCCAGGAACAGAUGAUAGCAACGAACGUUUGAGAGCU
ensembl:lncRNA